CCUACGGGUGGCAGCAGUGGGGAAUAUUGGGCAAUGGGCGCAAGCCUGACCCAGCAACGCCGCGUGAAGGAAGAAGGCUUUCGGGUUGUAAACUUCUUUUCUCAGGGACGAAGCAAGUGACGGUACCUGAUGAAUAAGCCACGUCUAACUACGUGCCAGCAGCCGCGGUAAUACGUAGGUGGCAAGCGUUAUCCGGAUUUACUGGUUGUAAAGGGCGUCUAGGAGGGGACGCAAGUCAGAUGUGAAAAACACGGGCUCAACCUGUUACAUGGAUUUGGAACUGUGUUUCUUGAGUACUGGAGAGGGAGACGGAAGUCCUAGUGUAGCGGUGAAAUGGGUAGAUAAUAG
rnacentral:rRNA from 1 species